GUACAGUAGAGCUGGGUUGGAUUCCUGGUUGAAGUGCUCAUUUUCAGCUGAAUCAAAUGCUUAUUUUAACACAUUUUUUUCUACUUGUUCCUCUUAUUUUAAGGCUUAAAUUCUUAGAGCCUGCUCACUCAGCUUAUAUUUAGUAUAUUUCAUUUAUUUUGAGACAGUAGAAAGUUACAUUUGAAGUAAUCUCAUCUUAAAUCCAGUAUUUUAUGCUUCUUAAGCCUUCUAAAUACAUCCGUAGACAUGCCUAUUUCUAGAUUUAACAAUCUUAAUUCAAGAAAUCUUAUCAAGUGAAAUUAUCUUGCUGCAUGGACAGAUAAUUUCACUUAUUUUGAGUCCCUUUUUCCUCAGAUUUUGUGUUUUCAUCUUUUUUUUCGACACCUUUUUUUGCAAUGUUCAGUUGGAUUUAAUAUUAUUGUCAAAGCUCAAGUGCAAUGUGAUUUCAUCUAAAAACUGUCUUGUUUUUCUUAGUUUGUUUUCAGCAGCAGGAUGAGAAAAUAUGAAGAGACACCAUGGACACUGGUCUGGAUCAUCAAUGGUAGAAAGACAUUGUCUCAACAUGGAAGUCCACAUGAAAGACAGCGAUGCAGAUUGUCUGUGAAGGAGGAGGUCUGUCUGACGGAGCCGUUCAUCCAUCAGUGGUCGUUUUCCAUCAGAACCAGUAGAUCCAGAGAUGUGGGUGUAAACGACAUCGGAGGCGUCAGCGAUGGACCUGUGAGGGAGACCAGGACCAGAACCCAGA